rnacentral:rRNA from 1 species
GAUUAACGCUGGCGGUAUGCAUAACACAUGCAAGUCGAACGAACCUUCGGGUUAGUGGCGAACGGGUGAGUAAUACAUUGGGAUCUGCCCAAGAGUAGGACAUAGCCUGCCGAAAGGUGGGGUAAUUUCCUAUAGUCUUAGUAAUAAGUAAAGCAGCAAUGCGCUCUUGGAGGAACCUUUGUUCUAUCAGCUUGUUGGUGAGGUAAUGGCUCACCAAGGCGACGACGGAUAGCUGGAUUGAGAGGUUGACCAGCCACACUGGGACUGAGACACGGCCCAGACUCCUACGGGAGGCAGCAGUGGGGAAUUUUGGACAAUGGGCGCAAGCCUGAUCCAGCAAUGCCGCGUGCAGGAUGAAGGCCUCCGGGUUGUAAACUGCUUUUGUACGGAACGAAAAGCCCCGGGUUAAUACCCUGGGGUCAUGACGGUACCGUAAGAAUAAGCACCGGCUAACUACGUGCCAGCCGCCGCGGUAA